GACGAACGCUGGCGGCGUGCUUAACACAUGCAAGUCGAACGGAAAGGCCCUGCUUUUGUGGGGUGCUCGAGUGGCGAACGGGUGAAUAACCCGUGAGUAACCUGCCCUCGGCUGUGGGAUAACGUCAGUAAACUGGGGCUAAUACCGGAUAGGGGCGCCUGCGGCAGGGUGGGGGUUGGAAAGUGUCGGCGGUUGGGGAUGGACACGCGGCUUAUCAGCUUGUUGGUGGGGGAGUGGCUUACCAAGGCUUUGACGGGUAGCCGGCCUGAGAGGGUGACCGGCCACAUUGGGACGGAGAUACGGCCCACACUCCUACGGGAGGGAGCAGGGGGGAAUAUUGCACAAGGGGCGGAAGCCUGAUUCAGCAACGCCGCGUGCGGGAUGACGGCCGUCGGGUUGGACGCGGCUUGCGCCUGUGACGGAGCGUGAGUGACGGUAAUGUGUAAAGAAGCACCGGCUAACUACGGG
rnacentral:rRNA from 1 species